CACCAGGGUGAUCCCAUAAAAGGGGCCGACCAGCACCUCCCAAUCCUGAGAAGUACAGCAACUUGGGAUAGAAGCGGGCAUGCCCAAGGUCUGUGGGGGUGAGGGCAUGUUUCCUUCUGAGCCCUGACUACCCACAUAU